GAUGAACGCUGGCGGCGUGCCUAAUACAUGCAAGUCGAGCGAACAGACGAGGAGCUUGCUCCUCUGACGUUAGCGGCGGACGGGUGAGUAACACGUGGAUAACCUACCUAUAAGACUGGGAUAACUUCGGGAAACCGGAGCUAAUACCGGAUAAUAUAUUGAACCGCAUGGUUCAAUAGUGAAAGACGGUUUUGCUGUCACUUAUAGAUGGAUCCGCGCCGCAUUAGCUAGUUGGUAAGGUAACGGCUUACCAAGGCGACGAUGCGUAGCCGACCUGAGAGGGUGAUCGGCCACACUGGAACUGAGACACGGUCCAGACUCCUACGGGAGGCAGCAGUAGGGAAUCCUCCGCAAUGGGCGAAAGCCUGACGGAGCAACGCCGCGUGAGUGAUGAAGGUCUUCGGAUCGUAAAACUCUGUUAUUAGGGAAGAACAAAUGUGUAAGUAACUAUGCACGUCUUGACGGUACCUAAUUAGAAAGCCACGGCUAACUACGUG
rnacentral:rRNA from 1 species